rnacentral:rRNA from 1 species
GGAAAAGAAACUAACAAGGAUUCCCCUAGUAGCGGCGAGCGAAGCGGGAAGAGCUCAAAUUUGUAAUCUGGCACCUUCGGUGUCCGAGUUGUAAUCUCGAGAAGUGUUUUCCGUGCUAGACCGCAUACAAGUCUGUUGGAAUACAGCGUCAUAGGUGGUGACAACCCCGUACAUGAUGCGGAUGCCUAGUGCUCUGUGAUACACUUUCGAAGAGUCGAGUUGUUUGGGAAUGCAGCUCAAAUUGGGUGGUAAAUUCCAUCUAAAGCUAAAUAUUGGCGAGAGACCGAUAGCGAACAAGUACCGUGAGGGAAAGAUGAAAAGCACUUUGGAAAGAGAGUUAAAAGUACGUGAAAUUGUUGAAAGGGAAACGCUUGAAGUCAGACUUGCGUAUUGGAGUUCAGCCGCAAGGUGUAUUCUUCAGUUUGCAGGCCAGCAUCAGUUUUUGGGGAUACAAAAGGGUCAGAGGAAGGUAGCAGCUCCGGCUGUGUUAUAGACUUUGACUGGAUGUAUCUUUGGGGACUGAGGAAUGCAGCGCACUUUUUGCAAGUCCCUUGGGGCUUUCUGCGCUUAGGAUGCUGGUAGAAUGGCUUUAAACGAC